CACUAUGGCCAUGCCACCCUGAAUGUGCCCAAUCUCAUCCGAUCUCGGAAGCUAAGCAGGGUCGGGCCUGAUUAGAACUUGCAUGGGAGACCACUGAGGAAUACCAGGUGCUGUAGGCA
rnacentral:rRNA from 1 species